rnacentral:rRNA from 1 species
AUGAACGCUGGCGGCGUGCCUAAUACAUGCAAGUCGAGCGAACAGACGAGGAGCUUGCUCCUCUGACGUUAGCGGCGGACGGGUGAGUAACACGUGGAUAACCUACCUAUAAGACUGGGAUAACUUCGGGAACCCGGAGCUAAUACCGGAUAAUAUAUUUAACCGCAUGGUUCAAUAGUGAAAGACGGUUUUGCUGUCACUUAUAGAUGGAUCCGCGCCGCAUUAGCUAGUUGGUAAGGUAACGGCUUACCAAGGCGACGAUGCGUAGCCGACCUGAGAGGGUGAUCGGCCACACUGGAACUGAGACACGGUCCAGACUCCUACGGGAGGCAGCAGUAGGGAAUCUUCCGCAAUGGGCGAAAGCCUGACGGAGCAACGCCGCGUGAGUGAUGAAGGUCUUCGGAUCGUAAAACUCUGUUAUUAGGGAAGAACAAAUGUGUAAGUAACUAUGCACGUCUUGACGGUACCUAAUCAGAAAGCCACGGCUAACUACGUG